GAUGAACGCUGGCGGCGUGCUUAACACAUGCAAGUCGAACGGAAAGGCCCAAGCUUGCUUGGGUACUCGAGUGGCGAACGGGUGAGUAACACGUGGGUGAUCUGCCCUGCACUUCGGGAUAAGCCUGGGAAACUGGGUCUAAUACCGGAUAGGACCACAUUUUGGAUGGUGUGGUGGAAAGUUUUUCGGUGUGGGAUGAGCUCGCGGCCUAUCAGCUUGUUGGUGGGGUAAUGGCCUACCAAGGCGUCGACGGGUAGCCGGCCUGAGAGGGUGUACGGCCACAUUGGGACGGAGAUACGGCCCAGACUCCUACGGGAGGCAGCAGUGGGGAAUAUUGCACAAUGGGCGCAAGCCUGAUGCAGCGACGCCGCGUGGGGGAUGACGGCCUUCGGGUUGUAAACUCCUUUCGCUAGGGACGAAGCGUUUUUGUGACGGUACCUGGGGAAGAAGCACCGGCUAACUACGUG
rnacentral:rRNA from 1 species